UAGGGAAUCUUCGGCAAUGGGGGGAACCCUGACCGAGCAACGCCGCGUGAGUGAAGAAGGUUUUCGGAUCGUAAAGCUCUGUUGUUAAGGAAGAACGAGUGUGAGAAUGGAAAGUUCAUACUGUGACGGUACUUAACCAGAAAGGGACGGCUAACUACGUGCCAGCCGCCGCGGUAAUACGUAGGUCCCGAGCGUUGUCCGGAUUUAUUGGGCGUAAAGCGCGCGUAGGCGGUUUUUUAAGUCUGAUGUGAAAGCCCACGGCUCAACCGUGGAGGGUCAUUGGAAACUGGAAAACUUGAGUGCAGAAGAGGAAAGUGGAAUUCCAUGUGUAGCGGUGAAAUGCGCAGAGAUAUGGAGGAACACCAGUGGCGAAGGCGACUUUCUGGUCUGUAACUGACGCUGAUGUGCGAAAGCGUGGGGAUCAAACAGG
rnacentral:rRNA from 1 species